UAAAACUUACACUUGUCCUUCAGUACUCGUCGUACAAAGAGGGUGGAGAGACUUAUAAACCUUAGAGAAUCUGAAAAGAAAUUCUCUAAAAUCUCUCUGAUAUAAAGAUAGAAAAUUAAAGACAAUCUUCUCUUUGUGUUUUAUAACUUUCCUUCCCACUUUAUGUUUUUUUGGCCAAUUCAACAUUUUCUUGACCCCAUUUCAUCACUAUUUGCCAACAUACAUUUCACAAACAAAAAAAAAAGUUCAAAAACCUUUUUUAUUUAUGUCUUAAGGCGACGAGGAUUGAACCCGAAAUCGUUAUGGUUAUCAGGGUAUAUAACUUUGCAGUCACCAAAGAAUGUUCGGUUCCCGAGCGACCACCAAGGUUGCUGAGAGAAUAUAUGUAUAUAUGCAGCUUCAAGCAAUUAUAUUUUGGAGAGGGGACUAGAAUCAGAUAUUGUACUCUUAGGAACUUCCAAGUACAAGAAAUGUUGUGUUCAACUGCAAAUCCUCCACAAAUUAGCUUUGUCAAUUGCAAAUCUGCUACAAGUUAAAGCUUUGUCACAAGUGCUUUGCAUAUCUAUAUAUAGAUAUAUAGACUACUGAAGCUGCUCAUUGACCCUCUUGCUUGGUCCAUUUGGGUUAAAAUUGGAAGACAUAAGAGCAGAUUCCCAGCCAGUUCCAAGACCAAAUGUUGAACCAGAAAUUGAAACCAAAGGGUCUGAACUUGGAAUCAUAAUCCCAUUAAUGGUCUGUUGUUGUUGCUGUUGUUGUUGUUGUUGCUGCUGCUGCUGUUGUUGGGUAGUGAAAGCUUCUUCAUUGAUGAGUGAAUUGAGAAAUGAAGAGAAAACAUCAUCAGUGCAAUAAUUGAUAUCUUCAUCUUCUUCAUUGCUGACUCCUUGAAUGUUGUUUCUCAAAUCCAUCCCACAGUUAUUACCAUCAACAUCACAGCCACCACCACAAUUCAAUAAGCUUGUAUAUCCAUGGGUGGUGGCAUUAUUAUGAUAUUGAUCAAAAGAAGCGUUUUCAAAGGCUUGAUGAUGAUCUGCGAUUUGCUUUUGAUAAAGAAGCUUUGUUUUGCUGCUGUUGUUGUUGUUUUUGAUCAACAGAUUGAUUUUCGAGGCUUAGCGGCUUGUGAGUUCUUGGAUCGAUUCCUUGGCUUAUGAGCUUCUUGCUCAGGCGAUGGAGUCGAAGAAUGAGAUCUUCUUCAUCGGGAGCGAUCUGGCCACGUUUUACAGAUGGACGGAGGUAGUUCAUCCACCGAAGACGGCAGCUUUUGCCACAUCGGAGAAGUCCAGCUCUUUUGGGUAAGGUACGCCAUCGUCCUUCUCCUUCUUUCUUGAUGUAAUUUGCAAGAAGUUCAUCUUCUUCUGGUGUCCAUGGCCCUCUCUUUAACCCUAUCUUGCUGCAACAAGGUGUCUUUGUACUUGUCGCCGCUGCAGCAGCAGCUCCUCCGCCUGCAGAAGCCGAUGUUGAUGGGGGUCUCAUUUCUUCUUCUUUCUGGUUUUCUUCUUCUUCUUCCACUUCUUCUCCUUCUUGUUUUUGAUAUGAAAAAGAAAAGUGUAUGUAUCGAUUGAGUUUUACUGUUGGAAAUGAGAUUGGAUCUUUUUUGCGGGUAUUUUCCCUUUUUUUUUUUCUUUUUUUUAAUGGAUGAAGCAGUGAUGAUUGAUAAA